CUGAGCUGAAGUUGGAGGCUUACCGGACUGAACCACCCAGAUUGGUUUUCCCUCCAAACUGUGCUUUGAAUUCUGUUAUCUCCAAGGCUGGAGCUGGAGCGGGAGUUGGGAUUACAGAAAGUGUGGAGGAAGGCACAACUUUUCAGCUGGUGGAUACGGUGUCAGCUCUGUGGGCUCAAUAGAAUUCUCAAGGCCUUGCACCAAGAACAAAGGUGGGAAAGAGAAGUUUGUUCACAGUUCCUGACUGAACGGGGAGAAGACAUUUAAUGGAAAUAUGAACCUCAUGCCUGGGUCUCCUGGUACUUGUAGCUGAACCUAGGAGUUUGUGGCCAAGCCUACCAACCACAUCCCCCAACGAUUUCUUCUCUUUUGGCAUGUUGGUCAUGGAGUUGGGAGAGGAGAGCACCCAGUCCAUUCUUAUCUUUAAAGAGAGAAGAAACAGUGAAGUCUGUGACAUUCAGUUUUCUGUGCCCUCUCUCCUCUUGCUGGUCAUCUUGCCCAGCUCAGCAGACUGUGCAUACCCAGCUCACUAGCCAGAGAACUGGCUAGCUCAGGCAGCUGGUGAGUCAAGAGUGUGCUCAAGUGUGGUUGUCAAGAGUGGUACAGCCGAUCUCCCACAUCUUAGCCUUUUCUGAGUACCUGAGCCCUGCGGUAGCAUCAGACUGGGCGGCACAAACGGGCGUGCAGCCAGGAAUCAGUCGGUGGGAACACGACAUGCGCAGUUCUGCGGUGACCACACCCUGUAGCUUUCUGUCCUUUGUCCUUUCAACAAACAUAGAUGGAGCAUCUACUAUAUAUCGGGCAUUAGGGAUUCUUGGGGGAUACAGGUAUGAAUGUAACAUGAUCCUUGACCCAAGGAACUUCUAGUUUUCAUGGGAGACAAGCAUAUAAAUGAAACCUUCCAACAGACCCCUAGAUGUAAGCCAUAAUUCCUAGCCUGUGCUACUGACGGUGGUAGGAGUUGGGAUAGAGAUCCUACUAGAAGUCACAGAUUUGCAUUGCUCUGACUCCCACCCACAGAAGUCUAGGCGUUUCUCGGGUCUUCCAUAAGGUUAUGAAGACCUCUUGGCUGCCACAGUGCAACACAGGUCUUCUUCCUCUGUCUGCCCAUGCUCACUGUGGUCAGCUGUCCUGGAUCCGGUGACAUGUAGAUAUGAAUGCCCGCCCAAGGCACCCUGCACUGCAGAUACUGACUGAAGGCACUAUAUACAUGUCCCCUCCCACUUCUGUGACAGGAGACAUGCCAACCACUCUGACCAACUGCCCAAGCCCCCAUGCCGAUUCUCUACUCAAACCUGUUUCAACAGUAACUUCAAGUGGGCCUGAGUCCUCUUCACCCCGCCUUGAACUCCAUUCUGUUAACAACACUCCAGAGCUGUACUUCUGAACGUAUAAGUCAAACUACAGUGGCAUUUGGGCUGCCCUAGUGCCUGCAACACUCCUGAACAUUGGAAACAUGCAUCGACUUCCUCCAGGUGGACGCGGCCCCAUGCAAGUGUGCAUGGCUCGGUAAGUGAAGGACAGCUUGGGUUUCAACCCCAACUCACCCCCUUGGCUGGUUGUCCUUGGCAGGACACAACCUAGCCAAGGGAUGAUCCUGAUGGCAUGGCCCCUGGCUGUAUUAUUGCAAGAAACUGGCUGUCUUCACAGUUGUUUGCUGGACAUUCAUGGCCAUUUCCCGAGGUUUUGUCUGACUUGAACUCAAGGGUAGGUCUCUCGGGGGCUGUUUCCCGAGGUUUUGUCUGACCUGAACUCAAGGGUAGGUCUCUCGGGGUCUUCCAUCUUGACCUUCUGGUCACAUGGCAAUUGACCCUUCUGAGGGUGGCAUAUCUACCGGGUGCACCUGGCCUUUUCUGGAGACUGCUCCUGCUACCAGCUUGAGGGAGGGGAUGCCACUCUGUUCUGUACUCUGCCUACCAACUGCAUGUACCUGGAUUUUCAUUAAUUCCUCAUGGCAUCACUGAGACAACCUUAUAGCAUUUAACAAGUUUUCACUCAAGUUUCAAAGAUAAAGGAAGGAACAUACAUAUGUGGUUGAUGAAAUAUAUAUGUAUACA